rnacentral:lncRNA from 1 species
UGCUUGGGUUCCAAGUCAUCCUCAUGGGUCUCGUUGAAGGAUUCCGUAUCAACGGUCUUGAUGGCGUAGGAGAGGGCAACAACCUCUACCCCGGAGGGCAAUACUUCGACCCCCUCGGCCUUGCCGAUGACCCUGUCACCUUUGCCGAGCUCAAGGUGAAGGAAAUCAAGAAUGGGAGGCUAGCCAUGUUCUCCAUGUUUGGGUUCUUUGUCCAAGCCAUUGUGACUGGGAAGGGUCCCCUAGAGAACCUCUUGGACCACCUUGACAACCCUGUAGCUAACAAUGCAUGGGUCUAUGCCACCAAGUUUGUGCCCGGAUCAUAAAUUAAUCUUCAGUUCCUCUAAUUAGUAAUUAUUAAUCUUGUUUGGGAGAAUGUAAUUGAACAGAAAAUUUUAUG